rnacentral:rRNA from 1 species
CCUACGGGAGGCAGCAGUGAGGAAUAUUGGUCAAUGGUCGGGAGACUGAACCAGCCAAGCCGCGUGAGGGAGGAAGGUACAGAGUAUCGUAAACCUCUUUUGUCAGGGAACAAAGACUGGGACGCGUCCCCGGAUGAGUGUACCUGAAGAAAAAGCAUCGGCUAACUCCGUACCAGCAGCCGCGGUAAUACGUAGGGGGCAAGCGUUAUCCGGAUUUACUGGGUGUAAAGGGAGCGUAGACGGCAGGGCAAGUCUGGAGUGAAAGGCAGGGGCCCAACCCCUGGACUGCUCUGGAAACUGUCCGGCUGGAGUGCAGGAGAGGUAAGUGGAAUUCCUAGUGUAGCGGUGAAAUGCGUAGAUAUUAGGAGGAACACCAGUGGCGAAGGCGGCUUACUGGACUGUAACUGACGUUGAGGCUCGAAAGCGUGGGGAGCAAACAGGAUUAGAUACCCUUGUAGUC